rnacentral:rRNA from 1 species
UACGUAGGGUGCAAGCGUUAAUCGGAAUUACUGGGCGUAAAGCGUGCGCAGGCGGUUAUGUAAGACAGAUGUGAAAUCCCCCGGGCUCAACUGGGGAGGGUCACGCGAUACUGAUCGACUCGAAGGCAGGAGAGGGUAGUGGAAUUCCCGGUGUAGUGGUGAAAUGCGUAGAUAUCGGGAGGAACACCAGUGGCGAAGGCGACUACCUGGCCUGUUCUUGACGCUGAGGCGCGAAAGCUAGGGGAGCAAACGGG